rnacentral:rRNA from 1 species
AUUGAACGCUGGCGGCAGGCCUAACACAUGCAAGUCGAGCGGUAACACAGGGAGCUUGCUCCUGGGUGACGAGCGGCGGACGGGUGAGUAAUGUCUGGGAAACUGCCUGAUGGAGGGGGAUAACUACUGGAAACGGUAGCUAAUACCGCAUAACGUCGCAAGACCAAAGAGGGGGACCUUCGGGCCUCUUGCCAUCAGAUGUGCCCCGAUGGGAUUAGCUAGUAGGUGGGGUAACGGCUCACCUAGGCGACGAUCCCUAGCUGGUCUGAGAGGAUGACCAGCCACACUGGAACUGAGACACGGUCCAGACUCCUACGGGAGGCAGCAGUGGGGAAUAUUGCACAAUGGGCGCAAGCCUGAUGCAGCCAUGCCGCGUGUAUGAAGAAGGCCUUCGGGUUGUAAAGUACUUUCAGCGGGGAGGAAGGCGACAAGGUUAAUAACCUUGUCGAUUGACGUUACCCGCAGAAGAAGCACCGGCUAACUCCGUGCCAGCAGCCGCGGUAA